GUGUUUGCUUCAGCAGCACAUAUACUAAAAUUGGAACGAUACAGAGAAGAUUAGCAUGGCCCUUGCCCAUGUAAUUGUAACCCUUUUGUACAGUAUUUUC
rfam:Dipodomys ordii contig_51703, whole genome shotgun sequence.